GCAUGGGUUUGGAUUGAUGGCAGGUCCGUCCCCCUGGGCCUCUCAUAGUGUCCCAUGCCACAGCAAACGGUGGCCCCGAACCAUUGCCGGCCUCUGUCCGUGGGUUGUUGGCACUGAAGCGGGUCGCACAGUA
ensembl:snoRNA SNORA80B small nucleolar RNA, H/ACA box 80B